rnacentral:rRNA from 1 species
GGGGAAUUUUCCGCAAUGGGCGAAAGCCUGACGGAGCAAUACCGCGUGAGGGAUGAAAGCCUGUGGGUUGUAAACCUCUUUUCUCAAGGAAGAAGUUCUGACGGUACUUGAGGAAUAAGCAUCGGCUAACUCUGUGCCAGCAGCCGCGGUAAUACAGAGGAUGCAAGCGUUAUCCGGAAUCACUGGGCGUAAAGCGCCUGUAGGUUGUUUAUUAAGUCCGUUGUUAAAGCCUAGGGCUUAACCCUAGAAAAGCAAUGGAAACUAGUAGACUAGAGUAUGGCAGGGGUAGAGGGAAUUUCUAGUGUAGCGGUGAAAUGCGUAGAUAUUAGAAAGAACACCGGUGGCGAAAGCGCUCUACUGGACCAUUACUGACACUCAGAGGCGAAAGCUAGGGUAGCAAAAGGGAUUAGAUACCCCAGUAGUC